UACAGAGGGUGCGAGCGUUGUUCGGAAUUACUGGGCGUAAAGCGCGCGCAGGCGGCCCUUUAAGUCUACCCGUGAAAUGCCGGAGCUCAACUCCGUGCACGCCGGGGGAUACUGGGGGGCUGGAGACAUGUAGAGGCAAGCGGAAUUCCGGGUGUAGCGGUGGAAUGGCGUAGAUAUCCGGGAAGAACACCUGGAGGCGAAGGCGGCUUGCUGGGCAUGAGUCGACGCUGAGGCGGCGAAAGCGUGGGGAGCAAACAGG
rnacentral:rRNA from 1 species